rnacentral:rRNA from 1 species
CCUACGGGGGGCUGCAGUGGGGAAUUUUGCACAAUGGGGGAAACCCUGAUGCAGCGACGCCGCGUGAUUUAGAAGGCCUUCGGGUUGUAAAAAUCUUUUGUAUGGGAAGAAAAUGACAGUACCAUACGAAUAAGGACCGGCUAAUUACGUGCCAGCAGCCGCGGUAAUACGUAAGGUCCGAGCGUUGUCCGGAAUCAUUGGGCGUAAAGGGUACGUAGGCGGGUAAGCAAGUUAGAAGUGAAAUCCUAUAGCUCAACUAUAGUAAGCUUUUAAAACUGCUUAUCUUGAGAUAUGGAAGGGAAAGUGGAAUUCCUAGUGUAGCGGUGAAAUGCGCAGAUAUUAGGAGGAAUACCGGUGGCGAAGGCGACUUUCUGGCCAUAAUCUGACGCUGAGGUACGAAAGCGUGGGUAGCAAACAGGAUUAGAUACCCCAGUAGUC